rnacentral:other from 1 species
CAACGAACAUCAGGAUGAUGGCGUUACUAAAGCAGGACACGUCAGGAAGGCGUUACAAGGAAGGCUUCUGGACGAAGCAAAGCGGAACACGCAGGACGCGUAAGGGACACCUCCAGGAAGGAGAACGAGAGCCGGUCAGGAUGCCCGGUGGGUCAGGAAGGCCAGGACGUCUCAGGAUGGACAAUCACGCCAGGACGGUGUGAUGCAGGAUGCAGCGGUAAACGGAUGACCAGGCCUUCGGGUCAGAGGAAAAGUUGUCACGGAUGAGCAGGGAGCACGAAAAGUAGCUGGAUUGCUGCGAAACGAACCGGGAGCACUGUUUUUACAGUGCUCCCUUUUUUUAU